rnacentral:rRNA from 1 species
GUAGUCAUAUGCUUGUCUCAAAGAUUAAGCCAUGCAUGUCCAAGUAUAAACCACUUUGUACGGUGAAACUGCGAAUGGCUCAUUAUAUCAGUUAUUGUUUAUUUGAUGAUACCUUGCCACUUGGAUAACCGUGGUAAUUCUAGAGCUAAUACAUGCAUGCCAGCCUCGACUCUUUGCGGAAGAGGUGUAUUUAUUAGGUAAAAGCCAACCCUGGGCAACCAGGCCGCUGGUGAUUCAUGAUAACUUUGCGAACCGCACAGCCCUCUGCGGCGGCGGUGGAUCAUUCAAAUUUCUGCCCUAUCAACUUUCGACGAUAGGAUAGAGGCCUAUCGUGGUGGCAACGGGUAACGGGGAAUUAGGGUUCGAUUCCGGAGAGGGAGCCUGAGAAACGGCUACCACAUCCAAGGAAGGCAGCAGGCGCGCAAAUUACCCAAUCCUGACACAGGGAGGUAGUGACAAUAAAUAACAAUACAGGGCCCUUUGGGUCUUGUAAUUGGAAUGAGUACAAUCUAAACCUCUUAACGAGGAACAAUUGGAGGGCAAGUCUGGUGCCAGCAGCCGCGGUAAUUCCAGCUCCAAUAGCGUAUAUUCGAUUUGCUGCAGUUGAAAAGCUCGUAGUCGAACUUUGGGCUUGGCCGGAGGGUCCGCUGCUUCGGCAGCGCGUACUGUCUAUGCCAGCUGUGCCUCUCUUUCGGGGGAGGUGCAGUGGCCGAGCCUUUCCUCCUGCAUGGCGGUGCCUGGCGGGUGGUCCUUCGGGGCCGCCGGCUGGCACAGCGGCAGGACGUUUACCUUGAAAAAAUUAGAGUGUUCAAAGCAGGCGCACGCUUGCAUAGAUUAGCAUGGAAUAAUGGAAUAGGACCAGUGGUUCUGUUUUGUUGGUUUUUGUUGGAACCGCGGUAAUGAUUAAUAGGGAUAGUUGGGGGCAUUUGUAUCUCGCAGCUAGAGGUGAAAUUCUUGGAUUUGCGAGCGACAAACCUAUGCGAAAGCAUUUGCCAAGGAUGUUUUCAUUGAUCAAGAACGAAAGUUAGGGGAUCGAAGACGAUUAGAUACCGUCGUAGUCUUAACCAUAAACGAUGCCGACUAGGGAUUGGGCGAUGUUGCUUAUUGACUCGCUCAGCACCUUCAGAGAAAUCAAAGUGUUUGGGUUUUGGGGGAAGUAUGGUCGCAAGGCUGAAACUUAAAGGAAUUGACGGAAGGGCACCACCAGGAGUGGAGCCUGCGGCUUAAAUCGACCCAACACGGGAAAACUCACCAGGUCCAGACAAAGGUUGGAUUGACAGAUUGAAAGCUCUUUCUUGAUUCUUUGGGUGGUGGUGCAUGGCCGUUCUUCAG